CAGGCCUAACACAUGCAAGUCGAACGAAGGCUUCGGCCUUAGUGGCGCACGGGUGCGUAACGCGUGGGAAUCUGCCCUUGGGUUCGGAAUAACAGCGAGAAAUUGCUGCUAAUACCGGAUAAUGACGUAAGUCCAAAGAUUUAUCGCCCAGGGAUGAGCCCGCGUAGGAUUAGCUAGUUGGUGGGGUAAAGGCCUACCAAGGCGACGAUCCUUAGCUGGUCUGAGAGGAUGAUCAGCCACACUGGGACUGAGACACGGCCCAGACUCCUACGGGAGGCAGCAGUGGGGAAUAUUGGACAAUGGGCGAAAGCCUGAUCCAGCAAUGCCGCGUGAGUGAUGAAGGCCCUAGGGUUGUAAAGCUCUUUUACCCNGGGAUGAUAAUGACAGUAUCGGGAGAAUAAGCUCCGUCUAACUUGGUGCCAGCAGCCGCGGUAAU
rnacentral:rRNA from 1 species